GAUGAACGCUGGCGGCGUGCCUAAUACAUGCAAGUCGAGCGAACGGACGAGAAGCUUGCUUCUCUGAUGUUAGCGGCGGACGGGUGAGUAACACGUGGAUAACCUACCUAUAAGACUGGGAUAACUUCGGGAAACCGGAGCUAAUACCGGAUGAUAUUUUGAACCGCAUGGUGCAAAAGUGAAAGACGGUCUUGCUGUCACUUAUAGAUGGAUCCGCGCUGCAUUAGCUAGUUGGUAAGGUAACGGCUUACCAAGGCAACGAUGCAUAGCCGACCUGAGAGGGUGAUCCGCCACACUGGAACUGAGACACGGUCCCGACUCCUACGGGAGGCAGCAGUAGGGAAUCUUCCGCAAAGGGCGAAAGCCUGACGGAGCAACGCCGCGUGAGUGAUGAAGGUCUUCUGAUCGUAAAACUCUGUUAUUAGGGAAGAACAUAUGUGUAAGUAACUGUGCACAUCUUGACGGUACCUAAUCAGAAAGCCACGGCUAACUACAUG
rnacentral:rRNA from 1 species